AAAAUUGAAUAAUGUUAAUUCCAACUUCAACUAGGUUUUAUGUCAAUCUCAAAACAGGCAAAAUCUCUUAAAUUGAUGUUUUAUUAAUUUAUAGAGGCUAAGGAAAAACAAUAAGCUAAGCCGGUUUUAAUCAACCGUUAUAAUUUAAAUAUUUUCGCUUUGCAGGCGUUACUUGUAACACCGUACGUUCAUAAUAAUAUUUAUUAAAAUAGAUAAACAAUCCAUUUAAUACUUUGUAAAAUUUUUUUUACUAAAACAGCUUUACUUCCUAAAGAGAAGAUAAAUAUAAAUUGGAUUUUUUUCUAAUAUAGUAGUUAAACUAAAAUCUAACUAUUAUAAAAUAAAUAAAUAUUUUUUAUUUACUCAAGAGAAUAUUUUGUUAAAAAAUGCAUUAAUUAAAUUUAAAUAAAUUUUUUUUAGAUUACAACUAAUUUAAAUUAGCCGUUCGACGAAAACUUAUUUUAAUUUACUUAAUAAAAGAAUAAGCAGGAUACUAGAAUAAUAGCAAAAUUGUUUUUAGUACUCAUAUAAUUGUUUAUUUGUUUUACAAA
rnacentral:misc_RNA from 1 species